GCCAGUAGGAAGGUGGCUAGGGUGUAUCUCCUCUGUCUGCCCUUCCUGCAGGAUCUGGGAAAGGUGAGAGAACAGUGAAAGAGGACGCCUCUGGACACACGGCCUUGGGACUUGUCCUGGAGAUCAGUUCCCCUUAGUGGAGGCUUUGCAGAAUUUUGGGGACCCAAGACAACUACACCUGGCACGGGCACAUCACAUUUUCCUGAUGGCUAUUGUGUUCUUCCAGACUUUGAGGGAGGAUAAAGAAACGGAAGCAGGAAGCUUGUGACAGUUACGGCCAGUAGAGCCAGGAUUGGAUUUGAACUGUGGGAUUCUGUUUGCAAGGUCUGUGAUCCUUCCCCACUACACUAUCCUGCUCCUUUGGUUGGCCUCAAUAAGAGGGCUUUAUGAAAGAACCAUACUUGAUUAUUUA